CUCCUCACUCCUACCAUAGUCUCUCCUCACUCCUACUUAGUCUCCCCUCACUCCUACCAUAGUCUCUCCUCACUCCUACCAUAGUCUCUCCUCACUCCUACUUAGUCUCCCCUCACUCCUACUUAGUCUCCCCUCACUCCUACCAUAGUCUCUCCUCACUCCUACUUAGUCUCUCCUCACUCCUACCUUAGUCUCCCCUCACUCCUACCUUAGUCUCUCCUCACUCCUACUUAGUCUCUCCUCACUCCUACCUUAGUCUCCCCUCACUCCUACCUUAUCUCCCCUCACUCCUACCAUAGUCUCUCCUCACUCCUACUUAGUCUCCCCUCACUCCUACCAAGUUGUGGAGGAAAAUACGGAACAAAUGUGUCCGCGAUGAAAAGCAGCAGUGGCGACGCACGGGGCAAUAAAGUCUAUGAUAAAUAAACAAACAAACAAAUAAAUAAAUAGACGUGACUCUCUAGGUCGUCACUCCGCCUGUUGUUCUGGCGGUGAAUCGCUCUGCAACACACGCAGAACCAUGAAUUGAAACGA
ensembl:lncRNA